rnacentral:rRNA from 1 species
GCUUAAGGCUGAACCAGCAACUUGGAGGAAUGUAUAGCGAUAGCUAAUUGUAUCCAGACAUUAAGGGAUACAAUAUUGACUUUGUCAAAUAAAAUUUCUAGGCAGAAUUUAUGAUAAUGACAUUGUCUGCCUAUGUGUCUUGACCAAAUUACGUGCCAGCAGUCGCGGUAAUACGUAGAAGACUAGUGUUAUUCAUCUUUAAUAGGUUUAAAGGGUACCUAGACGGUAUAUCAAGCCUAAAAAGGGGGACUAAUUUACUAGAGUUACUUGUGAGGGGGCACUAAAGUACUGAUGGUGUAGAGAUAAAAUUCUGUAAUACCUUUUUCGUAAAGAAAACAAUGGCACAGGUAUAGGCGAAAGCAUCCCCUUAUGUGAUAACUGACGUUGAAGGACGAAGGCUUUGUGUAGCGAACAGGAUUAGAUACCCUAGUAGUCGAAGCAGAAAAUGAUGAAUGUCAUAGAUUAGACAUUUAAGUUUAUUCUAUAAAUGAAAGUGUAAGCAUUCCACCUCAAGAGUAAUUUGGCAACAUUGGAACUGAAAUCAUUAGACCGUUUCUGAAACCAGUAGUGAAGUAUGUUGUUUAAUUUGAUGAUCCGCAAAAAACCUUACCACAACUUGAAUAUUUAUAUCUAUCUCUUUUCAUUAAUUUAUUUUUAUCUUUUUUUUAA